rnacentral:ncRNA from 1 species
UGAGUAUCUGCCGUCCCACUCCACUUCAUGGGCGGCGGACAAAAAGAAGGAGGAAGUGAAAUCCCCGGGCUCGGGGUGCGGCAGUGUGGAGACCUGUCGUAAAGCCUCGUCCGUGUCAACCGGAGAGGCGAGGGCAUCCCUGGCGGAGGCCGGAUGUCCGGAGCCUGAAUUAUGGCA